GCCCAGCUAGCUCAGUUGGUAGAACAUGAGACCCCUAAUCUCAGGGUUGUGGGUUUGAGCCCACAUUGGGCU
rnacentral:tRNA from 1 species